rnacentral:lncRNA from 1 species
GAAGCAAACCAGUAAGCAGCACCCCUCCAUGGUCUCUGCAUCAGCUCCAGCCUCCAGGUUCCUGCCCUGUGUGAGUUCCAGUCCUGACUGCCUUUGGUGAUGAACUGCAAUGUGGAAGUCAGGUCAGUGUCAUCGUGGCGCGAAUCCAACAGCUGCUUCCUCUUUAAUGGGCAGUGAUGGAGAACUUCUCCUGAGUUCAAACAUGACGAAGAUCUUCCCUUCUCACCUCUUCUAGUCAACACACCCGGGAGUUUCCAACCAGCAAAACCAGACGAGAAAAAUAAGUUUAAGGCAUGUGCACAGGAAGGAAAAGAUGAAGAGCCUCAGGAGACGGGGUCAUGUGUUCAAGUCUCCAUAUAAGCACAUGCUGGGCUGUGAUUUCUGUGGCUGACGCUAGGUGGCGAGGGUGUCAGCGUGGUUCCGUAUCGUAUAGAGGACUUGCUUGGAGACUGCUCACAGCAUGCCUGCUUGGGAUUCCAGCCUUUCUGGAGCUUCAGUAUGAGUAUUUUGCUAAAAAUCUGGAGCCGUAGUGUCCGUCAUUCGUAAGGCUCCUGCUCCUAGGCUGGAGGUGGAGGGGGCCAGAGCAGUAGGUGCUCUUUACAGCCACCGCAUCUGAGGAUGCUUGGCAUUUUAGCGUCUGUUAACAUGACUGGAACCUUUCUUGAAACACCGCUGCCCACAGCCCAGUGGGGUGACCUUGGACUAUGACAACCUAUCAUACACCGGUGAAGAACGAGAAGAAGAGCUCAGAGGCUCAACUCAAAGAUGUGAUAAAUGGGAAAAGAGGUCAGAAUGUAAAAGACGCUGCCUGCCCUGUACUGGAGUGUGAGGAUCACAGGGGACUCCAUUCGUAUGUGUCGAUAAAACAGAAAGACACAAAAGGAACCAGAAAUGUCUGUGAAACAGUAUAGAAUCCGGAGACCAAGAGCAGAGGGUAGCCCUUGCUUCCCUGCCGGGAGACCCGGAGUGAUUUAUUCCCCUCUCUGCUGUGCAGUUGCUGAGAAUCUUAACCUCAUUUGGGCAUUCUCUUCACAGUCUCAGGCUGCAAAAGCCUGCUUACUGUCAUACCAACGUUGACUCUUGCUAAAAUGAAAACAUACUGAUUUUUUUUUGCCUUAUCUUUAGGGAACACCCUUAGACGUGGUGGUGUAGAGACACCAUUCCCACCACACAGGAGAGACCCAGAAGACUCUGCCCGCUUCUGUGCACCUCCUAGCAUGUGUGGGUGGAUCCUAUUGAAUGUGGCAAGUGCUUUCCUGAGGUCCCUUCCUCAGUGGACUCUAGAGUCCCUAGAUUUAUGGUGUUCCAUAUCCAAAUAUAUACAAGCAGGGCUGAUGCCGUAUCCAAGGGCAAGGUACUAUACUGGAUCGUCCCUGCCUCCUGAAGGCCUCUCCGAGGCUCCUGCCCUUCAGUUCUCUCUCACUGAUGCCACCCUCAGGGUGGUGUUUCCUAUUGGCACCCACAGGCUCCCACUUUCAAUGGCAUUUGCUGCAUUUCUCAAAACAAUUGGCCGAGUCAUCUUCUUACUGUGGGAACUCUGUAGUGCCGUGAUCAUGCAUGGGGCACGUAACUGCCCCUACCAGCCCUGGGUGAAUUUCUUCUCUAGUACCCUGCUGGGCCCCUCCUUGGAAUUUUCAACUUGGGUCUAUGCAAUCCCAACAAAAACGG